rnacentral:tRNA from 1 species
GAUUCAUAGCUCAAUGGUUCAGCGUCGACUUGGUACGCCGGAAGUACAGGUUCGAUUCAUGUAAGAGUCA